rnacentral:misc_RNA from 1 species
GAUGAAGAACGUAGCGAAAUGCGAUAAGUAAUGUGAAUUGCAGAAUUCAGUGAAUCAUCGAAUCUUUGAACGCACAUUGCGCCCAUUAGUAUUCUAGUGGGCAUGCCUGUUCGAGCGUCAUUUCAACCCUUAAGCCUAGCUUAGUGUUGGGAGACUGCCUAAUUCGCAGCUCCUCAAAACCAGUGGCGGAGUCUGUUCGUGCUCUGAGCGUAGUAAUUUUUUAUCUCGCUUCUGCAAGCCGGCCAGACGACAGCCAUAAACCGCACCCUCUCGGGGGGCACUUUUUUAAUGGUUGACCUCGGAUCAGGUAGGAAUACCCGCUGAACUUAAGCAUAUCAAUAAGCGGAGGA